CAAAGUGGAGUGGUGAGGGAAGAGGGAAGAGGGGAGACCUACUCCUUGGCCCCCAGAACCACCGAUGAACACCUUGCUGCUGCCCUCAAGACUGGAAAUGGGCAGCUGGCCACCACUGGCUGCUAGUGCUGUGGAAGACAGAUUAGAAUUUAGCAAUCUAUCUGUGGUGAGCAAGUGUCCAUGUGUGCACCCUACCUGUUGUACUGAGACUUGUCACUGUCUGGGACAGCCCCUGACUGGACAACUGUAAGGAGGAUGCAGGAACCAGACGCGGAUCACCUCCUUCUCCAUGUUGAGCUUCUCGGCAAUGAGCAAGAUCUCCUCUGAGGUGCGAGCAAACUGCUCCAGUUCCUCCAGGUCACUGGGCUCCUCAGGGUGAGAGGGCACCGGAGUCACCGUGUGCACACUGCUUUCCGCAACCUUGUCUCUCUGCCAUAUACCAGACAAAUACAAGACUCAAGCAUGAGUGCCCAAUUUGUA